rnacentral:rRNA from 1 species
GAUGAACGCUGGCGGCGUGCCUAAUACAUGCAAGUCGAGCGAACGGACGAGAAGCUUGCUUUUCUGAUGUUAGCGGCGGACGGGUGAGUAACACGUGGAUAACCUACCUAUAAGACUGGGAUAACUUCGGGAAACCGGAGCUAAUACCGGAUAAUAUUUUGAACCGCAUGGUUCAAAAGUGAAAGACGGUCUUGCUGUCACUUAUAGAUGGAUCCGCGCUGCAUUAGCUAGUUGGUAAGGUAACGGCUUACCAAGGCAACGAUGCAUAGCCGACCUGAGAGGGUGGUCGGCCACACUGGAACUGAGACACGGUCCAGACUCCUACGGGAGGCAGCAGUAGGGAAUCUGCCGCAAUGGGCGAAAGCCUGACGGAGCAACGCCGCGUGAGUGAUGAAGGUCUUCGGAUCGUAAAACUCUGUUAUUAGGGAAGAACAUAUGUGUAAGUAACUGUGCACAUCUUGACGGUACCUAAUCAGAAAGCCACGGCUAACUACGUG